rnacentral:lncRNA from 1 species
GUCAAUAAGUAUUUGUUGAUGGAGUUAACAAAAGGAAUUGGCCUCCGUUUUUAGUUCUCAUUGAAAAUUCCGGUUUUCACAAAUGGGGCAGUGUCCAGGAGGGUGGCUGGUUACUGAUCACCUCCCCAGUUCCCGACUGAGGGAAGUGUGCAUUUUUUAGCUACUUUUGCUCUGACUGAUACACUUGGCUGCCUAACAAAAACCCAGAGAAGAAAUGAAGAUUUUUAGCAUCAUUCAAAAUGCUUGCCAUUCCUCUUGCUUUGUGAAAUCAUGAGCUAGUUAUUUCAAGUUCACGUAAAGGUCAGAACUCAGAUCUGCAGGAAGGAGGUUCCCCUUGGUUUAUGGGAGGGGAACUUUCCCCCCUCCUGUUUAUUUUACCCAAAGGCUUCUGUUUUUCUCCCAAGUGAAAAUGUGGCAUUUGGUGGAGAAAGUUCUCAGCUUGCGUGUGAGUGUGUGUGUGUGUGUGUGUGUGUGUGUAUGUGUUUUUUUUUUUUUUUUUAAGAGCUCAUGUUUUGGCUUUAGUUUUGAUUCCCAGUGAUUCCCCCCACCCCCCCAUGCCUGUGAGUUGAUUUUCCUGCUCCCUGGAAGGCCAGCUCAUUGUGUGCUCAGGUGAUGCCCCUGGUUCAGUUUCUGAAACUGACUUAGCCUUGAGCAGCAAUGACUCACAGUCCUCUAGGAUUCCUCCUGGGCAGGAAAAUACUGGAGAACUUAAAAGUGAGGACACCACCAGCCAAAGUAUUACCAUUGGUAACUUGUCUCCUGGAACCAGUUAUCUGAGUGGGACUGAAGGGACAUCCAAAACAGUUGACAGUAGAACUGGUAAGCAAGUGGGUGGUACUUUUUGUCAGUGAUGCUUCUUAAAGGAAACUUGUAAGAUCUGUAAAUAUCAUAUUUUCUAAAUAUUUUCUUUUAAUCAUCUAAAAGACUUGAAAUAUCAUAUGAACCAUCAAUCA